GAUGAACGCUGGCGGCGUGCCUAAUACAUGCAAGUCGAGCGAACAGAUGAGGAGCUUGCUCCUCUGACGUUAGCGGCGGACGGGUGAGUAACGCGUGGAUAACCUACCUAUAAGACUGGGAUAACUUCGGGAAACCGGAGCUAAUACCGGAUAAUAUAUUGAACCGCAUGGUUCAAUAGUGAAAGACGGUUUUGCUGUCACUUAUAGAUGGAUCCGCGCCGCAUUAGCUAGUUGGUAAGGUAACGGCUUACCAAGGCAACGAUGCGUAGCCGACCUGAGAGGGUGAUCGGCCACACUGGAACUGAGACACGGUCCAGACUCCUACGGGAGGCAGCAGUAGGGAAUCUUCCGCAAUGGGCGAAAGCCUGACGGAGCAACGCCGCGUGAGUGAUGAAGGUCUUCGGAUCGUAAAACUCUGUUAUUGGGGAAGAACAAAUGUGUAAGUAACUAUGCACGUCUUGACGGUACCUAAUCAGAAAGCCACGGCUAACUACAUG
rnacentral:rRNA from 1 species